CUACUCCACAGAGUGAAUACAGAUAUCUCUGGAGCUCCACGGGAGACACCAGCCCUUCCAGAAUGGAUGGCAAGCAACAGCAGCACGCUGUGGAUAUGGACCAAAACCCCACUGAGUUGCUACCCAGAAAUCCCUACGGUUCAAACGAAGGAACACACUGUGGUUGUAGAUUGCCU
rnacentral:lncRNA from 1 species